AGUUUCCUAUUUAUGUUUCUAGGUGACCAUCAAGCCAUGGACCAUUCGUUCCAUUAAACCUAUUAAACCCUGGACGGUGCCGCCAAAAGUAAGUCAUACAGCAAAAAAAA